rnacentral:rRNA from 1 species
UACCGGCGGCCCGAGUGGCGGGCACUAUUAUUGGGCUUAAAGCGUCCGUAGCCGGGUUGGGAAGUCCUCCGGGAAAUCUGGCCGCUUAACGGUCAGAAUGCCGGAGGAUACUCCCAGCCUAGGGAGCGGGAGAGGCCAAGGGUAUUCCCGGAGUAGGGGUGAAAUCCUAUAAUCCCGGGAGGACCACCUGUGGCGAAGGCGCUCGGCUGGAACGCGUCCGACGGUGAGGGACGAAGGCCAGGGGAGCAAACCGG